UUAGCCUGCUUUCUAAAUUUUGCAGUACGUUCCUGCAGCUCAGCGUUCCAUUCCUUGAUGAUCUCUUCUACAGACUUUCCUGUAAUUUCUGAUGGUAAUUUCGGUGUGGAAGUGGCAACUACAGUAGAAGUUGAAGUAGUCCCACUACUAGAAGCCACAGUCAAGGGUGAUGAUGUUUGAGCAGCUGAACUUGUUGCAGUGGCAGAAGUUGUGCUCGGGACACCAAAGCUUGGCACAGCCGCAGUUGAUUGAGGCUGUGAGGAUAAAGCUGGUGCAGAUGCUUUGCUAGACAAUGAAAAAACUGUAGAUGGGGCAGAGGUGCCAAAUCCAGCAAUCGGAGAUGAAUCAACAGCACUAGUCGUUGAAGCUGAAGAAGUGGGUGCAGGAAAUGUCAGAGAUAAACCAGUCCCGCUAGUCGUAGAAGAAGCUCCAAUAGCAGCUGCGGUUGUAGAAAUGCUGGUGGGGGUAGUAACAGUUGAAAACAAAGGCGAUGAAGAAAUUGAAAACCCAAUACUGGUAGGUUUAGACACCGGAGCACUUGAAGAAGAAGCAGAAGCUGUUACAGAGCUUACAGUCCCUUUUGCAACCGAAAAAGGUGAUGGGGAUGACGAA
rnacentral:misc_RNA from 1 species